CUCGAGAGCACAAGGAGACCACCGCCACCUCGCGUAGGGGGGAGAUGGGGAAGAAAGAGGACGAGAGGAGGACAGUAGUCGUUGGGCGUCGUCACCGAGGCCACCUACGUCCGUAUCGGCAAGGUGGUCGAGGAGCUUGUGAUUUGUAGGAAUAAACUUCUUACAGUGCUGGUGUCCUUUUCAAAGCAAAAAAAGAAGAAAAAACUUUGAUCAUCACUUGCUAGGAGAUGAACAGUAAGAUGAGUGAAGGUGGCAAGUUUCGGGAGGGAACAGCAGGAGAAUUACCGAGAUGAGUUUUGAAGAAUACAAAGGUGCCAGGUUGUUGAUUUCUGGAUUUAGGGAGCAUGAGCACCUGAAGAGACCAAGCAUGAACUGUCUCGUAUCAUGUGUAUGUUCUCUUUCUAACAUGUAGGUGCCAAAAUUCCCAGGUGGUGUGAUUCAUCAUUGCAGCCCCACGUCUUGUUCAAAGAAACAAAGAACAAACAACUGCCAGAAAAGGCUACGAUAAACUUGGCUGCCGUAAAAGAAGGGAAAUGGGCAACUCAAGCAUUCAUUAUUCACUGGGAAUCAUUCUUGGAGUGCCGGCCGUGACCAGCCGUUGAUGAGAAGGGGGGGCUGUAGUUUUCGCUGCGGUCAAUGGAGACGGGGACGGGGAUGGAGAUGGCCACCGUGCGGUCCCCGUCGCCUGAUAAGACGGGGCAAGUCCUCUCCACCCAAUCUGUGGUGCACUGCCAACUCGUUGAACGAGAAGGAUUGCUCGGGCAUUAGCGACACGUUCUCCCUCUCUUGGUGCAAGAAGAAGAACUACAAGGUGACGGGAGGGGUCCAUGAGAUCUUGAGCGGGUCCCGCGCAUCGCAUGGAAGAUGACCGGGUCACGUCACAUUAUGUUGACUUCGUCACCCACCACAAGCCUUCUUUUGGAGGUGUUACCCGAAAGAAAAGUCCAAAGUCCAGUUUCUACCACCAAGCUGAGCUCGAGGAGACCGUUCGAUGGAGCAAACAACGACUGCAAAGUCUUCCUUUGAAGGUGUCACCCAAAAGGAAAGCCUAAGUCCAGUUUCUGUCACCAAGCUGAGCUCAAGGAUACCAUCCAAUGGAGCAAACUAGAAGAACUGCAAGUCUUCCUUUGGAGGUGUCACCCAAAAGAAAAACUCCAAGUCGAGUUUCUGCCACGAAGCUGAUCUCGAGGAGGCCAUUCAAUAAUGGAGCACGCAAGAAGGGCACGGAUGAGAGGUGACUUCUCAGCCGACACACUCAUCCUCCCUUGCAGUAAACUCUUCUUUGACCUUCGGUGGACAAUCCAGAUAUUUAUGUGUUCCUUUAUCUCUCAGACUCUGACACUCAAAAAGAUGAUCUUAAAUGAAAAAUGAAUUCGAAUC